UACGGGGGAGCAAGCGUUGUUCGGAUUUACUGGGCGUAAAGGGCGCGUAGGCGGUCGUGACAAGUCACUUGUGAAAUCUCCGGGCUUAACUCGGAACGGUCAAGUGAUACUGUCGGACUAGAGUACAGAAGGGGCAACUGGAAUUCUCGGUGUAGCGGUGAAAUGCGUAGAUAUCGAAGAGGAACACCUGCGGCGAAGGCGGGUUGCUGGGCUGA
rnacentral:rRNA from 1 species